AUUUCUAGAGUACUUUUUCAAAAGGUCCUAUGCGCCAAAAGUAAACAAACUGAGUUAUACAAUGCAUGACGUUCUGCAUAUCCGAAACUACACUAUCCUCAAACCCGAUUUCUUCUAAGUAUUUAAUUUUUAAAAUUAUUAGCGAAAUGCAAAAAAACCUAUGAGCAUUCUCUUAAAUUUUCAUACAAAAUAAUUUACGUCGUUUUACCUCUCAGUGUCCUAUGUGCAUUCAGUAAAAUGAUGCACAUACGACAAUAACAAAUCGACCUAUGAACAAUUUUAAAUAUAUUUCAAUCAUUAUGCACAUACGCUAAUAUAAUAACGACGUAUGUACGCAUUUUAUUGAAUAAUUAGAAAGUAAUGAUAGAUUUUUUUAUAUCCAUAUAUCUUUUUAAAAAUAAUGUUUGCCUAGGUUCCGGUUAACGUGUAGACGUCAGCUGUAAGAGAGUAUGAAAUGUUUCAAUGCCUGACACAGCAAAAGAGAAGAGCAAAAUUUGACCAAUGAGCUCUCUCUCCCGAAUCUGGCGGAUACGACUCCCAGCAUGACAUACCAAAACAACUCAUAAAACAGCAUAAAAUAUGUUUUUUGUUUUGGUUGAUAGGAUCCCGGACAGAUCAUUGUUGUGGACUGUCUGAGUUUUUAAAGAAAAGUGUCGGAGGGCGAAGGAUUGCGGCAACAAAAAUACGCACUGCUUUACGGUACCUGGUCCCCCGACAACGACCAACCAAGCGGCGGCGGACGUGGUACGGAGGACGCUUCUAGAAACCCUAAAAGAGCGCGCCAUCCGCUUCGUGGUCAUGGUCUGUCAGAGAACCUCAAGACGAACGUCGAGUACAUUAAGAUUGCCGGAACCCGGGCGGAUCGGCUAUCAACAACUUCGCCAACGGCAAACUCAUAAUUACGCACGCAGAUGCAGGUCGUCUGGGCCGCUUGGGACAACGUGUCCGAGAAUCCAAAA
rnacentral:lncRNA from 1 species